rnacentral:rRNA from 1 species
UAGAGUUUGAUUCUGGCUCAGGACGAACGCUGGCGGCGUGCUUAACACAUGCAAGUCGAACGCUGAAGCACCUUCGGGUGUGGAUGAGUGGCGAACGGGUGAGUAACACGUAGGCAAUCUGCCCCGUACUCUGGGAUAAGCCCGGGAAACUGGGUCUAAUACCGGAUAGGACAUGCCACCGCAUGGUGGCGUGUGGAAAGCUCCGGCGGUACGGGAUGAGCCUGCGGCCUAUCAGUUUGUUGGUGGGGUGAUGGCCUACCAAGGCGACGACGGGUAGCCGGCCUGAGAGGGUGACCGGCCACACUGGGACUGAGACACGGCCCAGACUCCUACGGGAGGCAGCAGUGGGAAUCUUGCACAAUGGGCGAAAGCCUGAUGCAGCGACGCCGCGUGAGGGAUGACGGCCUUCGGGUUGUAAACCUCUUUCGCCAGGGACGAAGCCUUUCUUAGGUGACGGUGCCUGGAUAAGAAGCACCGGCUAACUACGUGCCAGCAGCCGCGGUAAU